UACGAGGGGGGCAAGCGUCGUUCGGAAUUAUUGGGCGUAAAGGGCGCGUAGGCGGUGCGGUAAGUCACCUGUGAAAACUCUGGGCUCAACUCAGAGCCUGCAGGCGAAACUGCCGUGCUUGAGUGUGGGAGAGGUGCGUGGAAUUCCCGGUGUAGCGGUGAAAUGCGUAGAGAUCGGGAAGAACAUCGGUGGCGAAGGCGGCCUGCUGGGCUCUUGCUGACACUGAGGCGCGACAGCGUGGGGAGCAAACAGG
rnacentral:rRNA from 1 species